AGAGUUUGAUCCUGGCUCAGGAUGAACGCUAGCGGCGUGCCUAAUGCAUGCAAGUCGAACGGUAGCCUUUGAUUUCGGUUGAAGGUGAGAGUGGCGGACGGGUGAGUAACACGUAGGUGACCUACCCUGGAGAGGGGGACAACCACUGGAAACGGUGGCUAAUACCCCGGAUGUCGGUCUGGUUAGAGAGGAUUGACUGAAGGUGGGUAUGUUGAGAGACAUACACAUGCUCGAGGAGGGGCCUGCGGGCCAUCAGCUAGUUGGUGGGGUAAGAGCCUACCAAGGCAGAGACGGCUAGGGGGCGUGAGAGCGCGACCCCCCACACUGGUACUGAAACACGGACCAGAUACCUGCGGGUAGCAGCAGCAAGGAAUAUUGCGCAAUGGACGGAAGUCUGACGCAGCAACGCCGCGUGGAGGAAGAAGUCUUUCGGGAUGUAAACUCCUUUUCUGGGGGAAGAAGGCGACCAUGUAAACCAUGGUUUAGCUUGACGAUACCCCAGGAAGAAGGCCCGGCUAACUACGUGCCAGCAGCCGCGGUAAAACGUAGGGGUCGAGCGUUAUCCGGAAUUACUGGGCGUAAAGCGCGUGCAGGCGGCUGGACAAGUCGGACGUGAAAGCUCCUGGCUCAACUGGGAGAGGUCGUUCGAAACUGUUCANCUUGAGGUCGGUANAGGCGAGUGGGAUUCCCGGUGUANUGGUGAAAUGCGUANAUAUCGGGAGGAACACCANANGCNAAGGCGGCUCNCUGGGCCGNCCU
rnacentral:rRNA from 1 species